rnacentral:rRNA from 1 species
UACGAAGGGGGCUAGCGUUGCUCGGAAUCACUGGGCGUAAAGCGCACGUAGGCGGCUUCUUAAGUCAGGGGUGAAAUCCUGGAGCUCAACUCCAGAACUGCCUUUGAUACUGGGAGGCUCGAGUCCGGGAGAGGUGAGUGGAACUGCGAGUGUAGAGGUGAAAUUCGUAGAUAUUAGGAAGAACACCAGUGGCGAAGGCGGCUCACUGGUCCGGUACUGACGCUGAGGUGCGAAAGCGUGGGGAGCAAACAGG